GGAAAACUUACCAGGUCCAGACAUAGUGAGGAUUGACAGAUUGAGAGCUCUUUCUUGAUUCUAUGGGAGGUGGUGCAUGGCCGUUCUUAGUUGGUGGAGUGAUUUGUCUGGUUAAUUCCGUUAACGAACGAGACCCCCGCCUGCUAAAUAGGUCCGUGAAUGAAUUUCAUUGACGAGAUCUUCUUAGAGGGACUUUUGGUGGCUAACCAAAGGAAGUUGGGGGCAAUAA
rnacentral:rRNA from 1 species